UCUAUUCUCAAGAAAUAA
rnacentral:miRNA from 1 species